rnacentral:lncRNA from 1 species
CACAAGAAGCGGGAGGACGGGGAAGGUUCACACCAAGCUCGGCAGCUUCACCAUCUCUCGCAAAGUCAGGACCUCUCUGGCAUUGGCGACGAUAUCUCUGUGAGUAGCCACCGCCAUCUCUCCUUUUCUAUCUUUCUGCGCAAUUGCUUGCUCCAGCGUCCAGGCUGUUUCGUUGAAUCUGUUGCCUUCGAUAUUUAUCUAGUCCUGGGGAAGUUGAGUUGGAAGAUCUAGUGUUGAGAUAGGAGAUCUAUUUACAUGGCUGUGCUAAUGUGAAGUUUGCUUUUUCGUUCAUGUCAGUUCUGAUGUCUCUACACGCUUCCUGGCCAGGCUUUGUGCAGCAGCCUUGCAGGCUGGGACGCGCCGUGCAUGCUGCUCCUCUCCUUCAUAUCCACAUGGUAGUUGGCCGGCGGACCUUCCUCCUCCGUGCUUCCUAUAUAGAAAACAUUCAGAUUAAUUAACCUUAACUUAUCAAUUUAUGUUUCUUUUGGAUUAAUUAUCACUGUUGGAUGUGCAGAUCUGAUUUUUUGUUGAUAGUAAAUUGUAUGUGCAACUCCGUACUUCUCUAGAACUUAUUUUUAGUUUAUUUCUAGUAUUACUGUUACUGCUGUUAUAUGUUCCUGCAGUCAUAAAUCCUUUGUUUCUGCCUUGUGUAUUGUGUUUUCCCUUUGUUAGUACAGUACAUUCUUGCUCACUAAAUAUUUCAGAGGCUGCCAUUUAUUUAUGAGUAUAUUUACUGUAAUUUCUUUGAUGGUUUAUGCUAGAAGAAAGGACAAUUUUUUCUUUGCUUUAAGCUCUUCUGGAAUUUUCUAAACUGAAACCAAAAGCCCAUCUAUUACUUUGCUGGUAGCAGGAGUUCCUAGAUUGGAUUGAUACAUCCUAGUUUGCUCCUGUCACUGUUCUAUCUAACUAGUGAAUUUUAAGUGAGUAUUAUAGGUUCUAACCUCCUGUUUGCUAAACAAGAAGUUUAAUAAUUUUAAAGCAUGCUGGACAUUUUCGAUAGUAUAGUAUGUAGUAACAGUAGCAUUUAUUUUUCAGCAGGCACACAAAAAAUAAGUGUGGAAAUUGAGAUUUCAAAAAACUCUAAGUUUGCUGGUUGACCUGUUAUUUCUCUUUUUGCCACCGUAAUUCAAAGCUAUGCUCCCUUGGAAAAUCAUGUAUUUCUCUAGCUGCACUGACUAUGGCAAUAUAUCUUCCGUGUAUGUGUUACUUGCAUUUAUUCCUGUUUUGAUGAAAUAGCAGCCAGACUAUUGAGUAGAUGCAUAAGUUUUUCUUACAGGAAUUAAUAGUUUUUGUGUUCUAAUCUAUAAUUCAACAAUUAGUAGUGUUACAUUAUCUUGUCGUUGCAGUGCUAUCUAUUAAGUUCUUUGAAUCACCAUUUGAUUGAACGUUUAUUUUUCUGGUUUUUAGGAAGAGAAUUGGUGGAUAAAACAAUAUUAGAGAAGUGCUUGACCAAGGAACAUCAUUUCACCAAGGCGGUUGCAUUGCUUAUUUGCUGAUCGCGGCAUGGUGGAUAGACAAUGUUAGCUGUUUGAAUUAGUGUAGUUUUUAAAUUGAUUCAUCGUCAAUUUGUAAAUUUUUUUAUAUAAACAUAUUUGACCAAAUGGUUGUAAAUCUAUAAUUCAGAAUGCUAUAAUGAAAUUUCACCAUAUUUGUCAUUCAAUGAAUGUUGGGAUUUCUUCUUAAAAUAAAAAUAGAUGGGCCAGUUGGUGAUGUAAGCAUCCAUGUUAUCAUCCACGUAAGCAGUCUGAUGAUGAUGUGGCAAUUUAUUUGUGACGGUUUAGAACCGUCAUAGGUAUUGGGCUUGGGCUGGGCUAACUAGGCUUUGGGCUCAACUGUGACGGUUUGAGAUCGUCACGGAUUUUGUCAAUUUGUGACGGUUUGGUCAAAAUCGUCAUAGAGGUUAAUCCAUGACGCUCAAUCUGUGACGAUAUUUGAAACCAUCACAGAUAUUGUAUUGUGACGGUUUUUUGGUGAUCCGUGACGGAAUUAUUUUGUCAUGGAUUAACAGGAUUCUUGUAGUGUAUGUCUAUAUCACUGGUCCAGCUGCGACCCGGCGUCCCCGUGUC